rnacentral:rRNA from 1 species
GACGAACGCUGGCGGCGUGCUUAACACAUGCAAGUCGAACGGUAAGGCCCUUCGGGGUACACGAGUGGCGAACGGGUGAGUAACACGUGGGUGAUCUGUCCUGCACUUCGGGAUAAGCCCGGGAAACUGGGUCUAAUAACGGAUAGGACCACCGCCGGCAGGGGCAGUGGUGGAAAGCUUUUGCGGUGUGGGAUGGGCCCGGGGCCUAUCAGCUUGUUGUGGGGGUGAUGGCCUACCAAGGGGACGCCGGGGAGCCGGCCUGUGAGGGUGACCGGCCACACUGGGACUGGGAUACGGCCCAGACUCCUACGGGAGGCAGCAGUGGGAAAUAUUGCACAAUGGGCGCAAGCCUGAUGCAGCGACGCCGCGUGAGGGAUGACGGCCUUCGGGUUGUAAACCUCUUUCAGCACCGACGAAGCGCAAGUGACGGUAGGUGCAGAAGAAGGACCGGCCAACUACGUGCCAGCAGCCGCCGUAA